GGUGGAUCCUGUUCAUGCAUAAAGGUGGUGGAAAAUCAACCAAGGAUCCUGKUUUUGAGGAUUACCAAGCAGAAAAGGAUUUACUUGGAGUGUGAUUCUGGAUCUGGGACACAGGAGAUUUUGCGGUUUGGAUCCGGCUCAAAACUCAUCAUCUCUGAUGAGYACCAGCUCAAGAAACCCAAAGUGACCAUGUACCUGGCGUUCAAACCUGAGCUGAAUGGGAKGACCACCCUGCUAUGUCUGGCUAGAGACAUGUUUCCAGACUUAGUCAAGGUCUCAUGGAAGAUGGAGGAUGAAAACGGCCGAACCGUGGAGGUGCCCAAAGCAGAGGGGGAACAGCUGGAGCAGCGGGAGGAAGGACAGACGACCAGUAUGAUCAUCAUUUAUCAAGGAAAGGCAGAUGCCAAAUACAUCUGUUCGGUGGAGCAUGAAGCGGGCCCUGAAGAAGCUGACACAUCAAAAGGUUUUUCAUCAGAGCAAAAUGUUUGCUCUCCAUCUACCAAUGCGAUGGCACCACCCUAUGCAACCUUCCAGUCCAUGUGCAGUCUGCGUCUGGCCUCUCUGGUUUACACAGUGAUGAUAGUGAAGAGUAUGUUGUACUGCUGUGGGCUCUCUCUCCUGCUGCACCACAGGAACAUGGGAAAUAGCCCCCCUACCUGAAGAAAAGCUACCUGACACACCAUAUGUCAUCUGUUCAUUAUGAAGAGUUCUGAAAGAGCUCUGGGAACAAGGAGGAAAUUUCAGUUCCCAUUUUCCUCUUCCAAUCCCUCACAGUGAACAAACAUACUAUUACCGAUGUCUAUGAGAAGCUUUUGUAUUCCAAACUCAUUUGGCCACAUCUAUAAAAGUUACUGUUAUUUUAAAGCUCUGGGAACUAGGAUGAAAUUUUGGUUUCCAAAAUUUCCUCACAGUGAGAAAAAAGUACUAUUACUGAUAUCCAUGAGAAGUUUUUAUAUUCCAAACUCAUUUGGCCACAUCUAUAAAAGUUACUGUUAUUUUAAAGCUCUGGGAACUAGGAUGAAAUUUUGGUUUCCAAAAUUUCCUCACAGUGAGAAAAAAGUACUAUUACUGAUAUCCAUGAGAAGUUUUUAUAUUCCAAACUCAUUUGAAAACAUCUAUAAAAGUUAUGUUAUUUUAAAGGUAAAAAAUAUGAAUGGGUUGCUUGUUUCGUCACAAUAUUUUUUAGAGCUUUCUCUUGAGGACUGGUGGCCGACUAAAAGUUAAACUCAAUGCAUUCUCAA